rnacentral:rRNA from 1 species
AACGAACGCUGGCGGCAUGCCUAACACAUGCAAGUCGAACGAGACCUUCGGGUCUAGUGGCGCACGGGUGCGUAACGCGUGGGAACCUGCCCUUAGGUUCGGAAUAACUCCCCGAAAGGGGUGCUAAUACCGGAUAAUGUCUUCGGACCAAAGAUUUAUCGCCUUUGGAUGGGCCCGCGUUGGAUUAGCUAGUUGGUAGGGUAAAAGCCUACCAAGGCGACGAUCCAUAGCUGGUCUGAGAGGAUGAUCAGCCACACUGGGACUGAGACACGGCCCAGACUCCUACGGGAGGCAGCAGUGGGUGAUAUUGGACCAUGGGCGAAAGCCUGAUCCAGCAAUGCCGCGUGAGUGAUGAAGGCCUUAGGGUUGUAAAGCUCUUUUACCCGGGAUGAUAAUGACAGUACCGGGAGAAUAAGCUCCGGCUAACUCCGUG